GACGAACGCUGGCGGCGUGCUUAACACAUGCAAGUCGAACGGAAAGGCCCUGCUUGCAGGGUACUCGAGUGGCGAACGGGUGAGUAACACGUGGGUGAUCUGCCCUGCACUUCGGGAUAAGCCUGGGAAACUGGGUCUAACACCGGAUAGGAGCCAUUUUUAGUGUGAUGGUUGGAAAGUUUUUUCGGUGUAGGAUGAGCUCGCGGCCUAUCAGCUUGUUGGUGGGGUAAUGGCCUACCAAGGCGGCGACGGGUAGCCGGCCUGAGAGGGUGGACGGCCACAUUGGGACUGAGAUACGGCCCAGACUCCUACGGGAGGCAGCAGUGGGGAAUAUUGCACAAUGGGCGCAAGCCUGAUGCAGCGACGCCGCGUGGGGGAUGACGGCCUUCGGGUUGUAAACUCCUUUCGCUAGGGACGAAGCUUUUUGUGACGGUACCUAGAGAAGAAGCACCGGCUAACUACGUG
rnacentral:rRNA from 1 species